rnacentral:rRNA from 1 species
CCUGGUUGAUUCUGCCAGUAGUCAUAUGCUUGUCUCAAAGAUUAAGCCAUGCAUGUCUAAGUAUAAGCAAUCAUACUGUGAAACUGCGAAUGGCUCAUUAAAUCAGUUAUCGUUUAUUUGAUAGUACCUUUACCUGGAUAACCGUGGUAAUUCUAGAGCUAAUACAUGCUAAAAACCCCGACUUCGGAAGGGGUGUAUUUAUUAGAUAAAAAACCAAUGCCCUCUGGGCUCUUUGGUGAUUCAUAAUAACUUAACGAAUCGCAUGGCCUUGCGCCGGCGAUGGUUCAUUCAAAUUUCUGCCCUAUCAACUUUCGAUUGUAAGAUAGAGGCUUACAAUGGUAUUAACGGGUAACGGGGAAUUAGGGUUCUACUCCGGAGAGGGAGCCUGAGAAACGGCUACCACAUCCAAGGAAGGCAGCAGGCGCGCAAAUUACCCAAUGCUAAUUCAGCGAGGUAGUGACAAUAAAUACUGAUACGGGGCUCUUUCGGGUCUCGUAAUUGGAAUGAGUACAAUCUAAAUCCCUUAACGAGGAACAAUUGGAGGGCAAGUCUGGUGCCAGCAGCCGCGGUAAUCCAGCUCCAAUAGCGUAUAUUAAAGUUGUUGCCGUUAAAAAGCUCGUAGUUGAACCUUGGACCUGGCUGAUCUGUCCUCCUAAUCGAGCGCACGGAUUCGGUCGGGUCUUUCCUUCUGGGGAGCCCUAUGCCCUUCACUGGGUGUAGUGGGGAACCAGGACUUUUACCUUGAAAAAAUUAGAGUGUUCAAAGCAGGCCUUUGCUCGAAUACAUUAGCAUGGAAUAAUAGAAUAGGACAUCGGUUCUAUUUUGUUGGUUUCUAGGACCGCUGUAAUGAUUAAUAGGGAUAGUCGGGGGCGUCAGUAUUCAAUUGUCAGAGGUGAAAUUCUUGGAUUUAUUGAAGACUAACUACUGCGUAAGCAUUCGCCAAGGAUGUUUUCAUUAAUCAGUGAACGAAAGUUAGGGGAUCGAAGACGAUCAGAUACCGUCGUAGACUUAACCAUAAACUAUGCCGACUAGGGAUCGGACGGUGGUUUUUUUAUGCCCCGUUCGGCACCUUACGAGAAAUCAAAGUUUUUGGGCUCGGGGGGGAGUAUGGUCGCAAGGCUGAAACUUAAAGAAAUUGACGGAAGGGCACCACCAGGCGUGGAGCCUGCGGCUUAAUUUGACCCAACACGGGGAAACACACCAGGUCCAGACAUGCUUAGGAUUGACAGAUUG